GGUUCGCCGCCGGGUGGCGGCUGGUCCGGAUGCUGCCGUUGCCCGCGGCGCGGGCCCUGUUCAACGCGGGGGCCGACCG
rnacentral:tRNA from 1 species